GAGUAUGUGUUGCAAAAUAAAUGGUGCAUCUUACCUUGAAGGCUGGCAAAGAUAAUUCGACUGGCAGUUCUCCAUGCCUAUCAAAUUAAAUUUGAUAUUCUAAUGAUGAUGGCUUCGAAGAAGUCACAACAUC